rnacentral:rRNA from 1 species
AUUGAACGCUGGCGGAAUGCUUUACACAUGCAAGUCGAACGGCAGCACGGACUUCGGUCUGGUGGCGAGUGGCGAACGGGUGAGUAAUACAUCGGAACGUGCCCAGUCGUGGGGGAUAACGUAGCGAAAGCUACGCUAAUACCGCAUACGAUCUAAGGAUGAAAGCGGGGGAUCGCAAGACCUCGCGCGAUUGGAGCGGCCGAUGGCAGAUUAGGUAGUUGGUAGGGUAAAGGCCUACCAAGCCGACGAUCUGUAGCUGGUCUGAGAGGAUGAUCAGCCACACUGGGACUGAGACACGGCCCAGACUCCGACGGGAGGCAGCAGUGGGGAAUUUUGGACAAUGGGCGCAAGCCUGAUCCAGCCAUUCCGCGUGCAGGAUGAAGGCCUUCGGGUUGUAAACUGCUUUUGUACAGAACGAAAAGGCUCUGGUUAAUACCCGGGGCUCAUGACGGUACUGUAAGAAUAAGCACCGGCUAACUACGUACCAGCCGCCGCAGUAA